rnacentral:rRNA from 1 species
UACAGAGGUCUCGAGCGUUGUUCGGAUUCAUUGGGCGUAAAGGGUGCGUAGGCGGCGGGGUAAGUCUGAUGUGAAAUCCCGGGGCUCAACCCCGGAACUGCAUUGGAUACUGCUCUGCUUGAGUACUGGAGAGGAGACUGGAAUUUACGGUGUAGCAGUGAAAUGCGCAGAUAUCAGGAAGAACACCCGUGGCGAAAGCGGCUCUCUGGAACGGUACUGACGCUGAGACGCGAAAGCGUGGGGAGCGAACAGG